AGCGAACGCUGGCGGCAGGCCUAACACAUGCAAGUCGAACGAACUCUUCGGAGUUAGUGGCGGACGGGUGAGUAACACGUGGGAACGUGCCUUUUGGUUCGGAAUAACUCAGGGAAACUUGUGCUAAUACCGAAUGUGCCCUUCGGGGAAAAGAUUUAUCGCCAUUAGAGCGGCCCGCGUCUGAUUAGCUAGUUGGUGAGGUAACGGCUCACCAAGGCGACGAUCAGUAGCUGGUCUGAGAGGAUGACCAGCCACACUGGGACUGAGACACGGCCCAGACUCCUACGGGAGGCAGCAGUGGGGAAUCUUGCGCAAUGGGCGAAAGCCUGACGCAGCCAUGCCGCGUGAAUGAUGAAGGUCUUAGGAUUGUAAAAUUCUUUCACCGGGGACGAUAAUGACGGUACCCGGAGAAGAAGCCCCGGCUAACUUCGUG
rnacentral:rRNA from 1 species